CCAUGAUGAGCAAUUUAGAUGACGAGUCCGAAUCGGGAAACCGCUGUGGAUAACUAAAAAUUUAUACCAUUCAUGCUUACUGAAG
rnacentral:snoRNA from 1 species